rnacentral:tRNA from 1 species
CUACUCAACGGCAGGCAGGGAAGUUUCCUAAACUUUAGAUGUGGGUUCGAUUCCCGCGGGGACCA